UCCUCACCUCACUCAAAGGCUUCCCUAGGUU
rnacentral:piRNA from 1 species